UGUUUCCAGAUACAUGACUUCUUCACCGAUGACUGCUUCUUCACAACGGUUUCGUGGCCGAGUGCUUGUUGACGUCAAAUCAUGAUUAUUUUUUAUGACGUGCGUGCGGUUUUGUAUUCUUCUCGACAUAAUUAAGAAGCAGUCGUUGAGGGCUACGCUAAAUUCUGCGUUAAUUACUGGAGAUUCCUUUCUGUCAAAUGCUCUACGGAAGGCCUAAGCGCAAAUGACGUUUAUUUCAAGAAAUGUUAAUUCAGCUGUCCCUGGUAUAUAAGAUGGAGGUUUCAAUGAUGGUGGAAAAUAUAUUAUUGAAGUCUUCGCAAACACAAUAAGCAGCUUGCAAGUGAAAAGAGUAAAACGCAAAAAUUGCCGAAGAAAGUCUUUCUUAUCAAAUUUACAACGGAGACAAUUCAAAUCAACGCACACAAGGCAGAAUAAUAUACAGAGAUCUCUUAUAUUGAAACUGUCGUUAGGAUAUUGCGAGAUCGAGCGGAAACUUUCAAAUUAUACAAUUUUUGGUUGGAUCGUUUGUUCGUAUUUUCAGAAUGGGUACUCGUGAGGUUCCGCUUUAUUUCCUUGCUGGUUGUAUGGCGUUCGUGGCAUUGUUCGUUCUGUGCUUGAUGUUUGCAGUUGUUUGUCCGUACACGAGAAUACGUGCGUUUUGUCUCAGAUGUUGCGGAUACAGAGAGUCCGAGAUGGAAUAUUACGCUAAACUACAACAACAACGAGGAGACAUGAGCUAAGCAAACACGAGACCGUGCGAGAAGGAUGAAUGAAAAUUUCAGAAUUCUGUAUUGGACAGACUGUACACAAGAGAAACUAAACGAUUCGAAAGUGAAUCAAAGAGGACACUGGAUUUUGGAGCCUUGGAAAACGUAAACAUUUCAUUGUUACGUAUUUAUUUGACUCUCCAAAGCAACAUAUGGAAAGUGCGAUCCGGCGACCUUCUAAUGUAGUACUGCGUGAAUCUGUAGAAACUGUUUCAGUUAGCUUUUUAGCCGUACGUCUUCAUUGCCUAAUAGUACGCACAUUAAAAGAAACUGCAAUAAAUACGUGAGUUUUGAAGCAACAGAAGGAAUGGGUGAGAGUCAGUCAGGUUCAUUGUUAAUUGAAAAAUAAAACACAGGUUGCCGUGAAGCAGCACAAAACAAAUUUACAUAUUUCUAAUAUUCAGGAAACGCCCGUCAACUGAUGUAUUGUUUACUGAGAAAGCCAGAAGAAAGAAAAGGAAAAUGCAAUAUUUUUUAUACAGCGCACCGAUAUAGUUUUUAAACCUUGAUAUCAUUUUGAGCGCUUUGGUGUUAGACUUAUGUUCCCAACAUCGUGACCGAGUGGUUCAUGUACAGGGCUGUGUAAAGGGAAAUAAAAGCGCUCGUAAUGUGUACAAUUAUUCUUAUAGUUCGGGAUAAACAUGUAAAUAAGAUUAGAAAUCAUUUAUAACUAGAUUGUUUCUCAUCCAUAAAGACUUAUUUAAUAACGAA